GUAGUACUCGGCGUCUAGGAUUAACGCUGGCGGCAUGCCUAAUACAUGCAAGUCGAAUGGUUUAGCUUGCUAGACCAUGGCGAACGGGUGAGUAACACGUAGGUAACCUACCUAAGGACGAGGAUAACCUUUGGAGACGAAGGAUAAUACUGGAUAGGACAUUACAAAGCACAUGCUUAAAUGUUUAAAGGAGCAAUCCACCAUAAGAGGGGCCUGCGGCGCAUUAGCUUGUUGGUGAGGUAAAGGCCCACCAAGGCGAUGAUGCGUAGCUGGACUGAGAGGUUGAACAGCCACAAUGGGACUGAGAACGGCCCAUACUCCUACGGGAGGCAGCAGUAGGGAAUUUUCGGCAAUGGGCAAAAGCCUGACCGAGCAAUGCCCGCGUGAUCGAAGAAGUAUUUCGGUAUGUAAAGAUCUUUUAUCGGGGAAGAAAAGACAGAUUGACUGAACCUGAUGAAUAAGCUCCGGCUAACUACGUGCCAGCAGCAGC
rnacentral:rRNA from 1 species